rnacentral:sRNA from 1 species
CAGCCUCCCAGACCAGUGCUGUGCCAGGGCUUGCCCAAGGGCCAUGGUUGCUAUGGCCUGCAACCACUGAAAUUUUCCUGGGACCAAGGCCACUUUAGUCAGCUGGUGAUAAAGUGGGCUGAGACUAAGGUUCCUCUUGCCUGAGCAGUGGAUUCACCUCUGGCCCAUGGUGGGUCAAAAUGCUCCCCAUAUGAGCACUGGUUUGGAAUCAAGGGCCAUGGGGUCUCUGUCUUUUGCUGUGUUCCAACAUGGUGGGGCCAGGUCUAAGUUCCAACACAAAGUCCCACACUCUUAUUUCCAUUUCCCAAGCAGGCAGUUUCUCUCUAAGUACUGCACUAUCUGGGUUUGGAAGAGAGGCGUUUAGGCAAGCAUCUCCAUUGUUUUUCUGCUGCUUCAUUGCCGUAGCUAUGGGAAUCCGUUUCAUUGUUAUGGUAACAAUAUGGAGUGCUGUAUUCCUAAAUUGUAAGUGAUAACAGAGAAGUAGAUGGCAACAUUGUCAAUUUAACAAUGGUAACAUAUUACUUUUGUUAGUAUUCAGAAACACAGACACAUAAACUAGAAAUAUUAAAUGUAUCUUUGUCACAUUUUUGCUUAGUCCAGAAAUUUGUAAACUAUAUUUGCUUAUACUAUAAGUUACUAACGAUACAAACUUUUAAUACUUAUGGUUAUUUUAAUAGCAUUAUUCAACCAAGAAGUUCAAAUUCCCUUGACCGGAAGUUACUGUGGCCCAUGUCCUAAAAACUGGAUAUGUUAUAAAAAUAACUGCUACCAAUUUUUUAAUGAGAGUAAAAACUGGUACGAGAGCCAGGCUUCUUGUAUGUCUCAAAAUGCCAGCCUUCUGAAAGUAUACAGCAAAGAGGACCAGGAUUUACUUAAACUGGUGAAGUCAUAUCACUGGAUGGGACUAAUACACAUUCCAACAAAUGGAUCUUGGCAGUGGGAAGAUGGCUCCAUUCUCUCACCCAACCUACUAACAAUAAUUGAAAUGCAGAAGGGAGACUGUGCACUCUAUGCCUCGAGCUUUAAAGGCUAUAUAGAAAACUGUUCAACUCCAAAUACAUACAUCUGCAUGCAAAGGACUGUGUAAAGAUGAUCAACCAUCUCAAUAAAAGCCAGGAACAGAGAAGAGAUUACACCAGCAGUAACACUGCCAACUGAGACUAAAGGAAACAAACAAAAACAGGACAAAAUGACCAAAGACUGUCAGAUUUCUUAGACUCCACGGAACCAAACCAUAGAACAAUUUCACUGCAAACAUGCAUGAUUCUCCAAGACAAAGGAAGAGAGAUCCUAAAGGCAAUUCAGAUAUCCCCAAGGCUGCCUCUCCCACCAUAAGCCCAGAGUGGAUGGGCUGGGGGAGGGGUGCUGUUUUAAUUUCUAAAGGUAGGACCAACACCCAGGGGAUCAGUGAAGGAAGAGAAGGCCAGCAGAUCCCCGAGAGUGCAACCCCCACCUCCACAGGAAAUUGCCUCAUGGGCAGGGCCACAGCAGAGAGAUACAGCAUGGGCAGUGCCUUCCCUGCCUGUGGGGGUUAUGCUGCCACUUUUAAUGGGUCCUCCACCCAACAGGGUCAGGGAGGUGGUGCUGCCCCAGUGGGCCAUGAUUAUCUUAAGGCAUUAUUCUCCAGCCUUAAGAUCUUAGGACGUUUCCUUUGCUAUGAUUUGUACUUGCUUGAGUCCCAUGACUGUUUCUCUUUCUCUCUUUCUUCCUUUUGGAAUAGUAAUAUCCAUCCUAUGUUUGUCCCACUAUUGUAUUUUGGAAGCACAUAACUUGUUUGGUU